GAGGAUAUAGCUCAAGUGGUAGAGCACAUGCUUAGCAUGCACAAGGUCCUGGAUUCAAUCCCCAGUACUUCCU
rnacentral:tRNA from 1 species